GCCCAGAUGGCGGAAUUGGUAGACGCGCUGGUUUCAGGUACCAGUGGCCGAAAGGCCGUGGAGGUUCGAGUCCUCUUCUGGGCACCA
rnacentral:tRNA from 1 species